CUGGUUGUCAGGCACAUUGGCGCCUGCUCAGCACCCUCCAGGGAGGCAUAAGGCAGACCUGCCGAGGAGAGCUUCCACACAUUUCGGCUCGGAAUGGUGGUCUUCCAGAAGACUAAAUGCAGGAGAUAGACAAAUGCUUUAAUUUUCUGUGAACAGAAGAUCUUCCCUUGCAUAUACAGCCUGGGAACUUGCAUGCAACCAGAAUCCGUGGUCUUGGCCUCAAGAUCUGAUCCACAUUUUGUGUUCCUCCAGCUAAGUGGAAGAGAAAGUCUAGUACCUGUACUUCAGAGAUUUUGUGUCUUCAGACCUGCAUGUAUUGUCUUCAAAUUCAGCAAAAAGGAAUGAGUCCCCCGGUUCCUAUUUUAUAUAUGGAGAAAUUGCAACCCAGCAAGAUUGACUUUUAUGAGGUCACAGAGCCAGUUAAUGACAGACCAAAGUUUCAAAUCCAGGUAACUUUUUUUUUUUAAAUAAAAUAAAAGUAUUUAUUUAGAGUGCCAGAAUUGCAAUUCAAGGAGCACAUUUGGGCAGCAAUCCAAGCUGUAUUCCCCUAGGGACAAAAGUCAG
rnacentral:lncRNA from 12 species